UGCUCUCUUUCUUCUUCUAGAUUUGAAAACCCUAAACAACACCACAGCUUCUUCCCUCCCAACAUUGUUCUCUGUAGGGGCAGAGGGAAUUUCCGGUGGAGCGGUGAAAUGCGCAGAGAUCGGAAAGAACACCAACGGCGAAAGCACUCUGCUGGGCCGACAGUGACACUGAGAGACGAAAGCUAGGGGAGCGAAUGGGAUUAGAUACCCCAGUAGUCCUAGCCGUAAACGAUGGAUACUAGGCGCUGUGCGUAUCGACCCGUGCAGUGCUGUAGCUAACGCGUUAAGUAAAUUUUUU
rnacentral:lncRNA from 1 species